rnacentral:rRNA from 1 species
ACACUCCUACGGGAGGCAGCAGUGGGGAAUAUUGGACAAUGGGCGCAAGCCUGAUCCAGCCAUGCCGCGUGAGUGAUGAAGGCCCUAGGGUUGUAAAGCUCUUUCACCGGUGAAGAUAAUGACGGUAACCGGAGAAGAAGCCCCGGCUAACUUCGUGCCAGCAGCCGCGGUAAUACGAAGGGGGCUAGCGUUGUUCGGAUUUACUGGGCGUAAAGCGCACGUAGGCGGACUAUUAAGUCAGGGGUGAAAUCCCGGGGCUCAACCCCGGAACUGCCUUUGAUACUGGUAGUCUUGAGUUCGAGGGAGGUGAGUGGAAUUCCGAGUGUAGAGGUGAAAUUCGUAGAUAUUCGGAGGAACACCAGUGGCGAAGGCGGCUCACUGGCUCGAUACUGACGCUGAGGUGCGAAAGCGUGGGGAGCAAACAGGAUUAGAUACCCGAGUAGUCCCAUGAU